AUGCCCUUCCUCUCGACGCCCUCGUUCGACCUCUCCGCCGGCGCGGAGCCCACACUCGGCCCGCGCCCUCCUCCUCCUCCUCCCCCGCCCGCCGCGCCUCCAUCGCAGCCGCAGGUCUCCGAGGCGGCGGCGAGGCGCCUGCGGGAGGCGGAGGAGCGGCUGCGCGAGGCCAUCCAGGAGCUCCACCAGAGCCACGGCCGGGAUGAGGAGGCCGCCAAAGGGGGCGGGUGGGGGUGCUGCGUGCAUCAGGGGGAGUCGUGCGCGGCGCACGCGGCGGGGAACCUGUGCCAGACCUUCCUGCUCUCCUACGGCGUCCGUGUCGGCAUCGGGAUCCUCCUCCGCGCCUUCAAGCUCGCGCGCCGCAGAUCCUACGCCUCGCUCCUCGAUCUCAAGCAACUGGUUUCGGAGAAAGAUCUAAUAGUAAGGGAGGAAGCUUGCCGGGUAGGGUUACUUUUUGGAGGAUUCACUGGAUCAUAUCAUGCACUGCGAUGUUUCCUUAGGAGAUUUCGCAAAAAGGAAACACCAUUCAAUGCAAUAUUAUCAGGUUCGGUGGCAGGCUUGGCGAUACUAGCACUAGAUGAUUCGAGUAGGAGACGCACCCUUUCUCUAUAUCUUCUAGCAAGGCUUGCUCAGUGUGCAUAUAACUCUGCAAAGUCUAAAAAUAGAUUCCACUUCUGGGGUAGCCAUUGGAGACAUGGAGAUGCAUUACUUUUUUCUGUCGCAUCUGCCCAGAUUAUGUAUGCUUUUGUAAUGAGGCCUGAAAGCUUACCAAAAUCUUACCGAGACUUCAUCCAAAAGACAGGACCAGUUGCAGAACCUGUUUACAAGGCUGUCAGAGAUAGCUGCAGAGGUGGCCAUGUGGAUCUCAUUGGCCUCUCGGCCUAUUUCGCAAACAAGAAGAAUUCAAAUUUGAUAAAUUUAACAAGAAGUCCCUCAAUUAUUCCAUGCUCUGUGAUUCAUCCUGACAGAGCAUCGUGCUUGGCUCAUAAUGUUACUGUCACUUCAUCAACAUUCAAGAAAACGUUCCCUUUGUAUUUCUCAUUGACAUUUGUCCCCUUUGUUGUUCUACGUCUUCAAAAGUUUUUGGAAUCCCCAGCUGCAACUUGCUGGCGUGCUCUUGUGGGUGCAGUUCGCUCUACCACUUUUUUGUCUGCGUUUGUCACUCUCUUCCAGUCUGCCAUCUGUUUGCACCGUAAAGUUGCAAGCAAAGACCACAAACUUGUGUAUUGGUUUGGUGGUUUACUGUCUGGUCUUUCGAUUCUCCUGGAGAAUAAAGCAAGACGAGCGGAGUUAGCUCUCUAUGUACUUCCCCGUGCUGGAGAAUCCCUAUGGUAUAUAUUGAUCAACCGCCACCUUCUCCCAAAUAUAAAAAAUGCUGAGGUGGGUCUUUUCUGCAUGUGCAUGGGAGGGAUCAUGUACUUUCUGGAGUACGAGCCAGACACCAUGGCUCCAUUCCUUAGAGGCCUGAUCCGGCGUUUCCUGGCGAGCAAGAUAACCAACCCAAGCCCGCCUCUGAAUUGCAACGCCUCCUACUCCUACCUUCAGACGCUGAACGUGUUGGAGCAGUCAAAAACGCAUCCUACCCCGGAGAAUGGCCUGCCUACGUCAGAGACGUACACCCUUGAAUCAAUUCCUGGACUUUAA
rnacentral:rRNA from 1 species